GACGAACGCUGGCGGCGUGCUUAACACAUGCAAGUCGAGCGGAAAGGCCCUUUCGGGGGUACUCGGGCGGCGAACAGGUGGGUAACACGUGAGUAAUCUGCCCUACACUUGGGGAUAACCUCCGGAAACGGUGGCUAAUACCCGAUACGACCAUUCCUCACCUGAGGAGGUGGUGGAAAGUUUUUCGGUGGGGGUUGUGCUCGCGGCCUGUCAGCUUGUUGGUGGGGUAAUGCACUCGCAAGGCUUCGACGGGGUGCCGGCCUGGGAGGGUGACCGGCCCCACUGGGCCUGAGCCACGGCCCGGACCCCAACGGGAGGCAGCAGUGGGGAAUAUUGUACAAUGGGCGGAAGCCUGAUCCAGCAACGCCGCGUGAGGGAUGACGGCCUUCGGGUUGUAACCCUCUUCCCCCUGUGACGAAGCGAAAGUGACGGUAGCAUGAGAAGAAGCACCGGCCAACUACGUG
rnacentral:rRNA from 1 species